CCUACGGGUGGCAGCAGUGAGGAAUAUUGGUCAAUGGGCGCGAGCCUGAACCAGCCAAGUCGCGUGAAGGAUGACUGCCCUACGGGUUGUAAACUUCUUUUAUAAAGGAAUAAAGUGAGGCACGUGUACCUUUUUGUCUGUACUUUAUGAAUAAGCAUCGGCUAACUCCGUGCCAGCAGCCGCGGUAAUACGGAGGAUCCGAGCGUUAUCCGGAUUUAUUGGGUUUAAAGGGAGCGUAGAUGGGUUGUUAAGUCAGAUGGGAAAGUUUGGGGCUCAACCGUAAAAUUGCGAUUGAGACUGGCAGCCUUGAGUGCGGGAGAGGUAGGCGGAAUUCGUGGUGUAGCGGUGAAAUGCAUAGAUAUCACGAAGAACUCCGAUUGCGAAGGCAGCUUACUGGACAGCAACUGACGUUGAGGCUCGAAAGUGUGGGUAUCGAACAGGAUUAGAUACCCCUGUAGUC
rnacentral:rRNA from 1 species